rnacentral:rRNA from 1 species
UUGUGUCGAGACAAUGUUCGAGCAUGAUGUCUCCCUUCUCGGGAAGCUCCCUCGACCCCACGAACCC